CAAGUACUGGUUUCGUUUUGGUGGAUAGAGUUAUAAUUUGAGCUUGUCUAGCACCAUUUGAAACCAGUACUUG